GUGAGGGAGGGUGUGACUAGUGACAGAGAGAGGGAGGGGGUGACUAGUGACAGAGGGAGGGGAGGGGGUGACUAGUGACAGAGUGAGGGAGGUGGUGAUUAGUGACAGAGGGAGGGAUGGGGUGACUAGUGACAGUCACUACCUCCUUCACUGUGUCACCCCCUCUCUCGCUCUGUCUCUAGUCACCCCCUCUCUCUGUCACCAGUCAUCCCUUCCUUCCCUCACUUUGCCACUAGUCAUCCCUUCCCUCACUCUGUCACCAGUCAUCCCCUCACUCUGUCACCAGUCACCCCUUCCUUCCUUCAC